GUGUACAGGGGUUGUGCCGAUGGAUUUGGUGGGUCUGGGUCUGCAUGUGUGCAAGUGGGCAGGCAGAGUGUAUCUCUCAGGAGGACGGGCAUUGGUGCGUGCAUGCGUGCACUGGUGUGUGCGCACGUGUAGAGAGAGAGAGAGAGAGAGCAGACCUGCUGCAUCUGUAUAUCCCUUAAUGAAGGCCGAGACAUAAGAGGUGGAGUCCCAGAAGAAGCCCAGGGAGGGGUGCCCUUUUCGGCAUCAGAAGCUGGAGAUGAACAAGCUCGGCCCACGGGUAUAGGACUGGAAGGCAAAAACGAACUCAAGCUGAUUCUUCCAUCAGUCUUGACAUCAGCUAUGUCUCCUAACUUGGGUCUGCUACCAGUUAUUAGAAUCUCCUUGCUGUUUUUCUGUUCAUCCAGAAUCUGACGAA